AUUCCUACGGGAGGCAGCAUGUAGGGAAUCUUGCGCAAUGGGCGAAAGCCUGACGCAGCCAUGCCGCGUGAAUGAUGAAGGUCUUAGGAUUGUAAAAUUCUUUCACCGGGGACGAUAAUGACGGUACCCGGAGAAGAAGCUCCGGCUAACUUCGUGCCAGCAGCCGCGGUAAUACGAAGGGGGCUAGCGUUGCUCGGAAUUACUGGGCGUAAAGGGCGCGUAGGCGGACAGUUUAGUCAGAGGUGAAAGCCCAGGGCUCAACCUUGGAAUUGCCUUUGAUACUGGCUGUCUUGAGUACGGGAGAGGUGAGUGGAAUUCCGAGUGUAGAGGUGAAAUUCGUAGAUAUGCGGAGGAACACC
rnacentral:rRNA from 1 species